rnacentral:rRNA from 1 species
UACGUAGGGUGCGAGCGUUAAUCGGAAUUACUGGGCGUAAAGCGUGCGCAGGCGGUUUGCUAAGACCGAUGUGAAAUCCCCGGCUUAACCUGGGAACUGCAUUGGUGACUGGCAGGCUAGAGUAUGGCAGAGGGGGUAGAAUUCCACGUGUAGCAGUGAAAUGCGUAGAGAUGUGGAGGAAUACCGAUGGCGAAGGCAGCCCCCUGGGCCAAUACUGGACGCUCAUGCAC